rnacentral:tRNA from 1 species
GCCGGUUUAGCUUAGUGGUAGAGCGUCCGUCUCAUACGCGGAAUGUCGUCAGUUCAAAUCUGACAGCCGGUA